ACGCGCCGCGUCCGUGUCGUGAGAUUAAUACCGGGGAGUGCCGUGCCUUUUUAGUGUCGCGCGAUCAUAAGAGACGAUGUCGUCGAUUUUCGCUCGUGAACGUCGUCUCCAUGUUAUCGUCUAUCUGCGGGACAAUGGACAUCGCGGCACGGACCGACGUGGGCCGACGGGUGUCGAGCGGAUCAUACAGCUUCGUUCGCAGCUUCUUCGUCGUAAUUUUUCCGUUGCCGCGUCGCGAGAUUGAUGCCGGGAGUGCCGUGCCUUUAGUGUCGCGCGAUCAUAAGAGGAGACGAUAUCGACGAUAUCGUCGAUUUUCGCUCGUGAACGUCGUCGCGUUGUGAGUGAGUGCGACAAUGGACCAAGGACCAACGGAGUAACGGAGGACGAUCGAGGAGAGGAGAACGGGGCCUGGGAGGCAUCGGGCGACGGCGGAGCGACCGUGGGAUCAACGCAGAAUUACAACUCCGCUGUUGCGCAUCGGCCGCUUAAUGCUAAGGUAGCACCGCCACGAUUUUCUCCGAAAUGGCACGGGAUACAAAAUUGUUAUUAGUG